CGGCACUCUAUAGCUUUUGUUUCCAUAGCAACUACGGUGGACGCGAAUGUACAAACAUGAGGUGAACAGAGAAGAAGGACGAAAUGUGUUUAUGCUCUGUCGUCAUCAUUAGUAUUUUUAUACCGUUGCAAUGACACCGAUAUAGUUUACUUCAGCCUCUACUGUUGCUUCGCUCACAAAUACCCCGUUUUCCCAGGGCGUUGGUAGAUUUGUUCCCGGACUUAUAAUGAUGGAUGACAUCGAACAGGCAAUAGAUGAGGAGCUGAUGAAAUUAAACCUACAUCCUUCUGAAAAUGAUUCAGAAUCAGACGAUGAUAACUUCACUGUUUUGGAUGGAAAUCUGCAUGCAGAAAAUGAGCUGCCUGACUCAGUACUCACAUAUGUUGAAGCUUCAAGAAAUCGAAUGAAUACCUUUGAACAAUUAAUCCUUGAAGAUGUUGAAGAAAAGGACUUCUCAAGCCAGAACCUGUCUCACCUUAAUCACAAUGAACCAGCUUCAGUUUUCACAGACGACCCCAUGAAGUGGAAAGACCGAGUUAUCUCUGAAUUAGUGGAACAAGUUGGACAUCUAAAUGACAUUGAGCCACAGAAUGCCCAGUGGGAGAUUCCAAAUAUGUCAGGCAUGGAAGAUUAUAUAUGCCCUGAGAGUGAACUGCAACUUAGUCUUGAGUGGAGAGAAUUAGAGAAAAGACUGAGAGAGGAAGAAGAGCAGAAAUUAGCAGCACAGGAGGUAGAAAGAGAGCUGCAUCAGAACUCAGAAAGAGAAGAAGAAGAGAGGAGGAGGAGAGGACGGAUGAAGUUUCAGGAGGAGCUGAAGAAGAUAGAGGAGGCCACUUGGGUAAG
rnacentral:lncRNA from 1 species